UACAGAGGGGGCAAGCGUUGUUCGGAAUUACUGGGCGUAAAGGGCGCGUAGGCGGCCUGUUAAGUCGAACGUGAAAUCCCCGGGCUCAACCCGGGAACUGCGUCCGAUACUGGCAGGCUUGAAUCCGGGAGAGGGAUGCGGAAUUCCCGGUGUAGUGGUGAAAUGCGUAGAUAUCGGGAGGAACACCAGUGGCGAAGGCGGCUUCCUGGCCUGUUCUUGACGCUGAGGCGCGAAAGCUAGGGGAGCAAACAGG
rnacentral:rRNA from 1 species